GCCGGGCGCAUGGCGCAUGCCUGUAGUCCCAACUGCUCGGGAGGCUGAGGCGGGAGGAUCGCUUGAGCCCAGGAGUUCUGGGCUGUAGGGCACUAUGCCAAUCGGGUGUCCGCACUGAGUUCGGCAUCAAUAUGGUGACUUCCCGGGAGGAGGGGACCACCAGGUUGCCUGAGGAGGGGUGAACCGGCCCAGGUCAGAAAUGAAGGCAGUCAAAACUCCCGUGCUGAUCAGUAGUGGAAUCACACCUGUGAAUAGCCACUGCCCUCCAGCCUGGGCAACACAGCGAGUCCCUGUCUCU
rnacentral:SRP_RNA from 1 species